CAGUCCAUCCUUUUAUAGUCCUUGGAAUUGGAAUCAAAGUGAUUUUUCUGCUGGUGCUUACACCGUUUAUCAUCUGGACUUGGAAGCGCCGGUCUCAUUCUGACGCCAACAAAGAGAAUAACAGCAAUGAUUAUGAAAACGUGAUUAUUGGGUGAAAUAAAGGUGCUCCAAAACCCUUGAGGUGAGCAAGGAACCAAAGCAGAGGAAUCGUUGGUAUUGCCCAGUUCUGACACAAAAUGCCUCCUGAGGUUUAAUUAAGCUACAUGAAUGAUCAGCAGUGUGACAGACUGGCGACCUGUCCAGGGUGAACCUCGCCUCUCGCCCGGUGAACGCUGGAGAGAG